GAGAUCAUGACCUGAGCCGAAGUGCAACACUCAACCGCCUGAGCCGCCAGGCGCCCCUGUGUGUCUCUUGCAGAGCAGAAGUUGUUAAUAUUGAUGAAGUCCAGCUUAUCAAUGAUCCCUUUAUGAAUCAUGCUUGAAACUUAGUUCUACCUUUGAACGUUUGGAUCACCUGAACCAACAAAUUCCCCUUUUGUUUCAGCAGAGGACGCCAUGUGCCUUUCCAGAAGCUGACUCAAGUGGAUCUGCGCCCAAGGCAGCCUCCUCCCGGCACAGGCUGUGAAUGGUGGGUCACGGCCACCAGCUCCACAGGGUCUCCGGGAACAGUUUGCUCACCCAGCGUCUCCGUCCCAUCAGCGUCCCUUCUGCUGCUUUAACUGCUGCUCUCUCUCCGAGUAGAGUGUUUUCUGGAGCGUGUCCCCCGCGCGCCUCAUCCACACGGGCCCAGUUACCUUCCAGCUCUCCAGCGGGUCUGGGCUUGGAUUCUCUGGGCGCAUUUGGCGGUUCUGUGCCAUUCUCCCUUUUCUCCCCCAAAUACGCGGGGGCGCCCUCUCAUCGCGGCCCUUUCUUUCUCGGUAAACUGCUCCCGCUUCCCAGAGAGAGUCCUGGCGAAAACCUUCCUGAAAAUCCCAUCCAAACCCUAAAGUAAAUAUUUCUCCAGCGUUCUCCUUUUAGUCUCCAGGAUGAUGACCCCUUCGCUUGUUUUGCAGAACUUUUUUCAGAAUCCCUUUGGUUUUUUAAAAAGUUUGUUUGUUUUCGGUAUUCUCCACACCCAACGCGGGGCUUGAACUCACAGCCCCGAGAUCAAGUCACGUCCGUGCUCUUCCAGCUGAGCCAGCCAGGCGCCCCAUCCCUAUGAUAUUUUUGCCACUGUUUGAGACACACAGAAUUGUAUAAACGUAACAUCAGGAAUACCUGUAGACCACCCCUCACCUGCUUCUUUUUCUCUUUACUCACCUAAAAAGCAGACCCACCUGUCAGACUCAGUGUUGAUGAACCUGUAGACAGAUACGUAGAUUGCUCUGGAUCCCACUCUGCCUGUGGGGGCAGGGCUGAGUCCCUCUCAGGGCGGGCAGUGGGAAGGCCCUCCACUGGGGGACACGAUAUUGCUCUGACAGUGAACGUCACUUCUGGCCAUAAGCUAUAAAGCCCAGCACAGAAACCAGCUGGACCGAACCCGUCAAAGGAGGCUGCAGGGAUGCAGGGAUGGGGGUUCAGUUGGUUAAGCGUCCAACUUCUGCUCAGGUCACGAUCUCCUGGUUCGUCAGUUCAAGCCCCACAUCCGGCUCUCUGCUGUCAGCUCAGAGCCUGCUUUGGAUGCUCUG